GCCUCCGUAGCUCAACUGGUAGAGCAGCUGACUCUUAAUCAGUUGGUUCGGGGUUCGAGUCCCUGCGGGGGCA
rnacentral:tRNA from 1 species